GAUGAACGCUAGCUACAGGCUUAACACAUGCAAGUCGAGGGGCAGCAUGAACUUAGCUUGCUAAGUUUGAUGGCGACCGGCGCACGGGUGAGUAACACGUAUCCAACCUGCCGAUGACUCGGGGAUAGCCUUUCGAAAGAAAGAUUAAUACCCGAUGGCAUAGUUCUUCCGCAUGGUAGAACUAUUAAAGGAUUUCGGUCAUCGAUGGGGAUGCGUUCCAUUAGGUUGUUGGCGGGGUAACGGCCCACCAAGCCUUCGAUGGAUAGGGGUUCUGAGAGGAAGGUCCCCCANAUUGGAACUGAGACACGGUCCAAACUCCUACGGGAGGCAGCAGUGAGGAAUAUUGGUCAAUGGACGAGAGUCUGAACCAGCCAAGUAGCGUGAAGGAUGACUGCCCUAUGGGUUGUAAACUUCUUUUAUACGGGAAUAAAGUGAGGCACGUGUGCCUUUUUGUAUGUACCGUAUGAAUAAGGAUCGGCUAACUCCGUG
rnacentral:rRNA from 1 species